GUCUUCCUAUAUAAACCUCCUAUGAAUCCACCCACACACAACACACAUUCACAUUUUUUGCAUUUGAGAUUCUGCACACUAAUUGUGGUUCAUUUUACCAUUUUGAAUUGAAAAUGGAAAGUGUGAGAAUGUGUUUUGUGAUGGCUGUUUUUGGUCUUGUAAUGGCAUUGCUUCUUCCUUCGAUUAAUGCUCAAGGUCCUGCUGCUGCUCCUGCUCCUUCUAACGAUGGAGCAUCGAUUGACCAAGGGGUAGCGUAUGUGUUGAUGGUGGUUGCAUUGGCUUUAACUUAUAUCAUUCACUAGAUUUCGAUUUUGGGGCUCAAGAUUGACUAUUGAUAUGGUUUUUUUUUUGUUCCAUGAUUUUUUGGGUUUGUUUUGACAUUUUGAUUUAAACCCAAUUCUUUGGUAUGUAAAGUUUAUGUUGGUUAUAUUUAUGUUUGAUUUAAUGAUUAAUCAAUCAAUUGGAUGCAAAUUGCUCUGCUACAUCUAUAUAAGUUUUUCUUAUGUUA